rnacentral:rRNA from 1 species
GACGAACGCUGGCGGCGUGCUUAACACAUGCAAGUCGAACGAAGUGGCGAACGUGUGAGUAACGCGUAAUCAACCUGCCCUUCAGCGGGGGACAACAGUUUGUAACGACUGCUAAUACCGCAUACUGAAGGAGGGGAUUGCGUCUGAUUAGCUAGUUGGCGGGGUAACGGCCCACAAAGGCGAUGAUCAGUAGCCGGUCUGAGAGGAUGAACGGCCAAAUUGGGAGUGAGACAAGGCCCAGACUCCUACGGGAGGCAGCAGUGGGGAAUCUUCCGAAAUGGACGAAAGUCUGACGGAGCAACGCCGCGUGAGUGAUGACGGCCUUCGGGUUGUAAAGCUUUGUUAAUCGGGACGCGGUACCGGAAUAGAAAGCCACGGCUAACUACGUGCCAGCAGCCGCGGUAAUAC